UACAGAGGUCUCAAGCGUUGUUCGGAUUCAUUGGGCGUAAAGGGUGCGUAGGCGGUAGUGCAAGUCAGGUGUGAAAUCCCGGAGCUCAACUCCGGAACUGCACUUGAUACUGCUUUACUAGAGUACUGGAGAGGAGACUGGAAUUUACGGUGUAGCAGUGAAAUGCGUAGAUAUCGUAAGGAAGACCAGUGGCGAAGGCGGCGUUCUGGACUGCAACUGACACUGAGAGACGAAAGCCAGGGGAGCAAACGGG
rnacentral:rRNA from 1 species